rnacentral:rRNA from 1 species
GGUCCAGACUCCUACGGGAGGCAGCAGUGAGGAAUAUUGGUCAAUGGCCGAGAGGCUGAACCAGCCAAGUCGCGUGAGGGAAGAAUGUCCUAUGGAUUGUAAACCUCUUUUGUCAGGGAGCAAAGUCACCCACGUGUGGGUGUUGGAGAGUACCUGAAGAAAAAGCAUCGGCUAACUCCGUGCCAGCAGCCGCGGUAAUACGGAGGAUGCGAGCGUUAUCCGGAUUUAUUGGGUUUAAAGGGUGCGUAGGCGGAAUGCCAAGUCAGCGGUAAAAUCGCGGGGCUCAACCUCGCUCCGCCGUUGAAACUGUGUCCCUUGAGUGCGCGAAGGGUAGGCGGAAUGCGUGGUGUAGCGGUGAAAUGCAUAGAUAUCACGCAGAACUCCGAUCGCGAAGGCAGCCUACCGGCGCGCAACUGACGCCCAGGCACGAAAGCGUGGGUAUCGAACAGGAUUAGAUACCCUCGUAG